rnacentral:tRNA from 1 species
GACCCCAUCGUCCAGAGGCCUAGGACUUCGGACUUUCGAUCCGACAACAGGGGUUCGAAUCCCCUUGGGGUCGCCA